GCUGUCUGCAAAUGUGUAGUUUUCUACAAUUACAGGUUAUAUUUUUUUAAAAAAAGAUUGCUUCAUUCAUUCUACAGUGCAUCAUCCUUGUUCCUUUCCUUUCUUUGUGGUAAGCAUUAAAGGAUGACCCAUUUUGUAUAGAGAGAUGCCUAGGCUUGUCAUUUUGGUGUUGUCCAUCCUGUUACAGCCAUCGGUGAGUUUACCCAAGUCAGAGGACAUCUCUGGUGAUGUUAGUCAUAACUAGCUGUCAUGGAUAUGGUGGGUUGCUGUAUUCAUAGCAAGUGAACUUACAGACAAUAACCCUGUUUCUUGCAUUAUUUCCCACUGCGACACGUGGGGGUGUGUAUGCAGGAUGACCCAGAACAGCGGUUCAGAAUGGUCUCUGCAUUGGUGGUAGCUGGAUGGCUGGGCAGCACUUCUCUGCUCUUCAGCUAAAAUAAGUCCUUCCUUCACACUUCUUUUCAAAGGAAACCACCUGUAGUUUUAUCAGUGUUUUCUCUUUCAACUCCAAGAUCCUGAUUUUGUGUGGCACUAUGGCUAGACAAUAAGGAGAGUGCAAGGAAUGCAUUCAUGGACAGUUAUGAAAAAGCGUGUCUCCAGAAAGUGCUUGUUUCUAACUGCCAUAAGCUGCAGGUUGGCUGAUGGUUGAGAGAUGAAUAAUUGCAUUCCUUUUUAAAUGACACACUUUAGAAGUGGUGUGGAUUUCCCUUUUUUUAGUCAGUCACAUGUCCUGAUCCAUCAAUGUGUUUCAGUUCUUUUUAAGCUUGGAUGAGGUUUUGAAAUAAAUAAAAUUGGCAUACGCUUCAACACUGUCCUCAAGCAGAAGUUCUUUCCAACGUCCAGACCCUAACUUUUAAAAAAGCAGUUGUUUCUAGAAUAAUUUCAGGCAUUCAGUAUUCCCACGUGCAUUCAGCUGACAUGCCUUGUGGUAGACACCCAAAACUUGCAGCGUGCAUGAUGUGGAAAAUGAUAGCUGCACUCUCGGAUUUGUCCCCCCUGGCCCCCAGCCCUGUGCCUUAGCUUUGAUCCCACCUCCAGCCCUUGAAACCCAUGUGUGCGAGCGAUAGGAAGGGCAAAUCAAUGUGGGUAACCAUGCUGGUGAUUUAAGCGCUGAAGCUGAUAGAAGAGCAGAAGCAGAGAAGUGCACUGAGGAGAACAGUUUUUAAGUACUUAAUUAUAGAGUGCCUGAAGAAGGCUGGAUGCUUUCUGGAGUACGGAUCAAGUGUCUUCUCCUCUGAUACGAUUAGGCCACUUUGGCUACCUUGUGUCAAGUCCCUUCCAGACAUGCUAGCACUUGGAUUCCUCCCACUCCCCAGAGGACUGUAAUUAAGAAGUUACUGCCUCCCAAGUGUGCAAUUAUGUUCUCUUAAACCCAAUAAGAAGCCCUUAGUCUGAAACAUCCCGUUUCCUGCAUUAGCGUUCUUCUGAUAGGUAGGUACCCCACCACGCUUUGGUAAGCUGCCGAGGCUGUUUUAUCCUCUGGACAAUUUGCUGAAUGUGAAGAGUGUUAAGAAAGGGAUCAAGAAGAAGAUAUAAAGUAGGUAAAAUAAAAAAAAACACCUGUGUAAGUGCACUUGAUAAGUACUUUUAAAAUAAAAACUUAUGUAAAAGUCUCAGUAUCGGUAAAGUUUGCCAGAAAUGAGGAAGGAUAAACUUCCCAGGACUGCAAGUUUUGGUUUUGCUGCUUGUUUUUAUUUUUUUAACUCUUCUUAAAAAAUGGUGGUUUUAAAAUAAAAUAGGUUGGAAGGAAACUAUCCGAAGAGAGUCUCUGUGCUGGUGGCAAGAAUAAAAUUCAAAGACUUACUACCCCUUAAAAGCCUCUUGCUUAGACUAACCAAACACUCAGUUAUGUCAGUCCCAAUUUUAAGCUUCUAUGAAGGCAAGACUCAUUUUGUGAAAAUUGUGUAUGCAGGGCAGUAAUAUGAUCUGCUUGAAAACUGGUUUUAGGCAGUAACCUUGACUAUCCCACCAUGCUAAUGUUACUGUAGCAUAUGACAAAUAAUUAUAUUUCUCUUGUUUAAGGCAUUGCAGAAAUAGAAAUAAAACAAUUCCUAGGCAUGAUCUUCCAGCGCAGUCACAAAAUUUUGAGCUAAGCCUUCCUUGUUGCCAUGCACGCCUUCGUGCUGUGCUCUGGGUGGGCAUGGAGACCGUUUUAUUCCCUCCCUCACUGUGCCAGCCUUUAGGCUUUCAAACAUGCUUCCUCCCGGCUUCCCUUGUUUAGACUAAAGAAUUGAAUUUCUUUGAUAUUUCUGCUUAGGCUAUGUUUUCUAGCUCUUUGAUUUUUUUUCCUUGUUCUUUUCUGAGCACUUUUCAAUAUGUCCCUGACCCUCUUAAAGUGUUCAGAAAUGGACGGUGCUCUGGGUGAUGCCUUGUUAGUGCCCAGCUGAGCAGAAGGAUGUGUUUUUUUCUAAAUGCUUUGUUAUAUUCUUGUUUUAUGUAUUACAGUAUAUUUUUUUUUCUUCAGUAGCAUGGCAUUGCUGACUCACGUCCAGCUUGUGAUCCCUUGAGUCCUUCUCUGCAGAGUUCCUGGCAGCCCUGCUUUAUGCAGGUGAUAUUCCUACCUAAAUGUAGUGCUUGGGAAUUCACUAAGGACAAUGGCUAUCUCUUUUUAAAUGGGCUAUAUCUCCAUUUUACCACAAAUGCUCUUGAUUUUGGGUUUACUUGUCAGAGUUGGGCCACAACCCAGAAUGCAUUCACCAGACAAAAGUAACUGUCUAUGCUUGGCUUGUAGUUCCAGAAAAGGACUUGAAGCUCAGCAGAUAUUAACACCAUAAGACCUUCAGGGAAGUUUUUAAAAAAAUAAAGGUAGGAAUAUUCUAAGUAAACCAGGGAGUAUAUAGUUUUAAAAGUAAAGUUCAUUGCCUGAUGUCUUUAAGUAGUAACCUUUCUCAGUUCUACAAGUCAUAGCAAGUUUCAGGUAAGUUGAAUGCAAACAGUUAGGCUGGUUCCAUGCCAAGGAUUAAUGGCAGUUAAUCCUUGCAAACAAAAGGUAAACUAUGGAAAAAUUAAACACACACAGUAACAAAACUUUUAGUAGGUGAUUCUAAUAAAUUGUGAAUUAGCUGAUGAACAUAAGGUGUCAAAUGCAAUGCUACAAGGUAUGCAAUACAACCUUCACUACUUGAUGUUCCAAAAAAGACUUUCAUAAUCACUACUGCUUUCUGCCAGCAUCUUAGUCCAGGGUGGUGACAUGCCUAAGCUAUGCAAUCACUUAUAAGAACUAACCUGGAAACAUGUAGAAGUACUGCAGUUAUGCCAGCUGUUUUUAACAGGGAAAAGUGAUACGGGCACGAUAUCCUAGACUACUGUUUCUUCAAAGUGUGUUAAUAUCCUGAGCACUGUUCAUUUAGAGCACCGGGAGCAAGACAUGAAAAUAACAGCAUUAUCUGGGUUGCAGACACUGCCUUCAAAAUGUAAGAUUAACAUUAAACUGUAAACUUUUUGUGGGGUAUCCCUCCAGUUCUGUUACCCAUAGCAUUAGUUGACAGUUGUGUUUGAGAGGAAUGGAUGACCUGUCAUUGCAAAUAGCAUAUUUUAGUUCUGCGUGUCUGUGAGAACAGGGAGCACUACAUUAUUUAUACUAGUAGUUUGGCUAUUAGUUAAUUAAAAACAUCUGGUCAAACCGGCAUCUCUAUUUCUAUGCAUGCAGCAGAAUACAGUAUCUAUUCUGCAUGGUGUUGGUUUUCAUGGGGCUUUCUAUUUCCUACAAAAUGUUUCUGUUACUGUUGAUAAUAGCUUCAUUUAACUUGAAUGUCCCUGUAUGGAGGAAAAGAAUCUGGUUUUGUGUAACAGAAGGUAAAAAAAUCUAAUUUAGGCAAAUAUUGUAAAGUGUUGUUGAAUAUAUUGAAAAAACAUCCCACACCUAAAAUGACAAAUGUUUGUAUAGGACAUAUCAGCACUCUGCUGUCAUAAUGCAAUAUGUUGUAUGACAUUAUUGAAUCUCCAGGUUUGCUAGUGAAGAAUGAAAAGAAAAAUAGAAUUGCUACUUCAUACCUUAGAGAUGAAUGUAAUCAUCAUGAAAUUCAUUCAGGUGACGAUGCCUAAAACUAUCCACGUUUUCCACUGUAAGAUGUGGUUUUUGCCUUCUUGUAUCUUUGGAAAAAAAAAAACCAAACAAAUGCAAAACAGAAUUGUCAAGCUAAUUUUAUGCCCCAGGAUGAAUUGUAGUGGGAUGACCUAAGAUGGCUGGGUUGUUUUAGAGAAGGAGGCUAAGGAAAAGAUGCAUGAUUUUGUUGCUAUUAAAAUCUUUACAGCAGCUUGACCAUGAAAAAGUUAAAAACUUUGGGAGAAGGGAGAUGGGAAAUCACAGCAAGGGAGAAGACUCGUGGUCAUCCCACUUUAAAGGACCUGCCCUCAUGGGAAAGCUCUCUGAGCAGACUAGUGUGGGGAGAAAAGCUGGUGGAGAGGAGACAGGCUGGAUGUGGCUGGUUGUUAGUGCUCACUUUCCAAAGCUGGGAAGCAAUCCCUGUUCCCACCUGUGACACCCAAUGGCAAAACAUGUGCCCAUCUUCUGCUAGUGGUCAGCCAAAAAACAUCUGCAACGUUCAAAAAGACAAAGCAAAAGAAGCAGCGCUUUCUACUGCUCUGUUAGCUUGGCGAAAGAAGCUGCCAGUAAUGAUCCCAUGGUAGUAACCCUGCGUGUCAUGGUAAUGAUAUAUGAUGGAUGUUCCUGGGGCUCUCCAUUGUGGUGUUUUUAAAAGGCAGAAGUUUCUGCGCAAGAACUGUAUUGAGAGAAAACACCAGGUGUAUGGUUGAUUGUGCAACCUUAAGAUGGUGCUCAGGGUAGAAGUCAGAAUUCUAUGGAGAAAGGAGUAGUUGUGUGUCAGCCUUCUGCUUGCUUUUGUUACCAAAUCAAAGGGUAUGUAAUGAAAGAGAAAUGAAAAUAAAGACUUCAAGAUUAGACAUUUGCCUUUGGACCUUAAAAUGAGUUUUAGCCUUCUUUUUGUCCUAAUAUUGCUUAUGAACUCUCUGAAGUCAGGUUAAGUAAAGCUCUUGUCUCUCUGUGUAGUCCUCAGUGCUUGACUUGAGAGCCUGUCUCUGAUUUGCAGAAGUGAGAAGCUGCUUUGAAAAGCUGACACCUGGGAGGUGUAUCCUCUAAGUAAAAACACAAGUGCUGUGCAUUGCUAAAACCUCUGGCAACUCCGGCUAUGCUCUUCCUAAGCUGGGAUCCUGCAGUUAGUAGAUACUGGUGAGUGUCUUCUUUCUGUCUUCAGAAUCAGAACAAUGCUGCAAGUCCACAGGGGGCUGGGGCAGAGGCUUCAGAAGAGGUCUGCAGUGAUGAACCCUGCUGAAAAAGACCAUGAGGGACUCUAAUGUGCAGUGGGGGGAGAAGUGUAAACUGGAAAAAAUAAUAGGAUAUGUCUGUUCAGUAGGCAUGGUCUCUUUGAGACCAGGAAUUGUAGCAGGGGCCCACGGGAAAAAUCACCAAGCAGAGUCCGAGGGAAGACUGUAUGAAGAAGCCAGCGUGCAAAGGAGCUGAAUGCAAGUUGUAUGACAGUUUUAAACUUGUUGUUUUUCUACCUUUUGAUUGUAAGAGAAAAAAAGUGAAAAAAAUGAUGUGUUGAUGUAGAGUUUAUAGGGUGCUUUGGGGCAUGCAGGGCUUGCAGGGUCUUUGUUGCACGCUCUGCAUGUACGUGUGUGCAUAUGAACCAAGAGGCUGCUUGUCUUCCCAAAUAAGCCUAAAAAUGUUGUUUGUUUACCCAGUGCAUUUCUCUAAUGUCUUCAUUUUUCUGGUACAGCAGCAAACCCCAAUUAUACAAAAAGCUACUGUCCUAAAAUUAGAAAGACUGUAAUUCACAAGAAAUAUUUGCAGUUUCGAUGUAUUUCCUUUGGUAUCUGCCCUUUUGGUGUUUACAGUUGUUUAUUUUACAUUUCUAGGCAACAGAAGCCUACUUUAUUCAAUAAUUUAAGUACAUAUAUAUAUACGAAUAAAUGAAGUCAUCCUUCAGUGUGUCACUUUUAAUCUGGAGAUCAGUCUGAAGAUACUAUUACUUUGCAUCUAGAAAUAUGUCUGGUAAUUUGUCUAAACUCCUUGAAUACUAUUUCUUACAGUUACACUUAUUUAAGGAAAUUUAUGGUUUAAAUUGCAACGACUGUAUGUAAAAUGUGUUUCUUAAAAGUCUCCUUUUUUAAUAAUUUACACGUAUAAAUAUUAAUAUCUCAUUUUAUGACAUUGCUGUUGUCUUAUUUAGGAUCCUGGAAAAAAACCCAACUAAUUAGAUUCAGAAAGAACAGCUAUUAUUGUUAUUUAACUAGCACACUGCUAUUUUUAAGUUAUAUUGAAAAUUAUCUGAGAUAAUAAAUUAUCCUAUUUAAUUCUAUCUUACCCACAGGCCUGACGGACUGCUGUUUGACUUUGUCCCCAUCAGCUAUCAGACGCAGGGGGCAGGAUUUCCUCUAAACUUCGUGUUGCAGCCCUAGCUGCCUUUCCCAAAUUCUGAUCCCGAUGUACAAGGGCUGCAAUUGUAUUGGCUUGUCCCAGAUGUUUAUCACAGGGGAGGAGAAUCCUAAACAUGGAUAAAGUUUACGCAUUUUAGUUUCCACUACUAAUGUGAUGAUUUGAAGAUUUCUCUAUCUUAAGCCAAGGCCAGGAAGGACAGAAGGUAGAGUGGCCAGCACGACCCACUACGGCAAUAUGUGGCACUCAAGAUGUGAGUAAUGAUGUACUUUUCUGUAUCUCAUUAAGCAACCAAAGGAUGAUCAGCAACAACUGAUCAAGGCAGAGGCAGAGCAGCCCUCUUGUUGGGUCUUGCUUGGGAGCUGCGAGCGUAACCAUUGUCUGCAUCCUCAUCUCUCAACAUGCACCAUCAGACGUGUCAAAGCUACGUUUUGUAUGGGAAUGCAAGAGUGUGUGACAGCCGGGAUAAUUUUAGGGUGAUCUUGAAAUACUCAAAAGGAUUUCCACCUUAAGGGGUGGAGGGAGGGGAAGCUGGCUUUAGUCCCUGUUGAGCUCUUGUAUGCUGUCCUUCAUUCCAAGGUAAGAAAUUCUAGGUGUCAGAAUGUCUAGGUAGCACUUACACACCUCAGAGAUUUUGUUUGGCUUUUCUAGACAGAUAAGAAGGCUCAGUCUCCCCACAAAAUCAAGGUCCUUUUUGUACAGACCUUCCCCCUACAGUCUGUCCUUUUCCCAUUCUCCUUUCCUUCCAGCUUCUGCAUCUUCACGUUUUCAUCCUUAUCCCAGCUGUGUUUGCAAGCACCUGGCUCUUUGCACUCAGGGCCUUCGUAGUUGCACUCCCCUCUUCUCUCUUGGUCCUCUAAUGCAAAAAGGAGCAUUUCUGAAAUGUGUGUGCUUGUGCAGUCAAGAAUUUUGCUGUUGGCACACCACCCAAUGACUUCACUCUUGCCUGAAUGGGGAGAGAGUGUCCUCUGAAGGGGAUCUGGAGGCCACCUAGGUGCUUAGAUCUUUGUUUGCACCUUGUUAUCUAGCCUGGAGUGCUGCCAGGCAUUCCUGUGCAGGCAGAUUUGCAAGCUGCCUACAAGCUCUUGUGAAGACCUUGUCUGGAUGGGAAGGGAGAAUGGGUGCGGGAGUCUUUGUUGAUGAUACAGCAGUACAGAUGUAGCUGGUUUACUUCCAUCGUUUUCAGCUUAAUUAAAAUGUAAGUACCCUGGACCUAGAGGUUCAGCACAGGAACUGAACAGGCAUCUCCAAGGAGAAUCCUGCAUAGCCAGCAGGUAAAGUUCAUAUGGAUUUAUGCUUUCUUUUAGCUUUCUAAGAACAUCUGAAAAAAAUAUGUAAUGCUAUAUCUUUAACUAAGGCUGGUUUUAGAAUAGUGAUUCCUAUAAAUUGAGAAUGAAGAGGAAGACAUGACAGAACUGCAGAAAUAAGGACUUUUUGAACCAUUGAAAAGUAAAUCACAAGCAGGGUAAUGUUUGUUAUGGCAGAACAUCCCCAGGUAAAGGGAAGGAGUAGGAAGUUGCCCAAACCCCUGUGAACUCACUGGUUUGUUUAAUAAACAGAAGCCAAGCUUUUAACAGAUGAACAGUGUUGUCUUGUACAUAAGAGGACUUAAUAUUUCUAAACGUGAACAAACCUCUUUUUUCCCAGUAUAAAAUAAUCUCACAUCUGCUCAAAAUCCCAAUAAUUUCAGUUUAUGUGUGGCAGCAACUACCUUUAGGAAGGUAGUCCAGCAGAAGUAAUUCUGGACGUGCUUUCAUCUUGAAGCACGUGUAUUGCUUCCAUCACUUCUCAAGCCUCAGAGUUCUCCUGCUUCAAGUCUCAAUAUUUACUAUGUCAGGUUGAAGCCUGCCAGUAACCAAAAAUAUCAGUUCCAGCCCUCCUUUCCUAGUAAAGAUACUGAUAUUAUGAGGGCUCUGGUCUUGUCAAAAACAAUGGAAAAAAAUCUUGUGAAAUGUGUGGAAUAUGAAGGCAAGCUUUUUUUUGUGGUUAAAAAUAGUAUCUGCGAUAAUAUAAUUACAUAUAAUAUAAAUCAUAAAAUAAAAAUCAUCUGCAAUAAUAAAGUCCCUAAAAUUGGGACUUUCUUACUGUGUGGAGGAUGCUAAAUAAGACUUUUUAAAUGGUAUCUUGUGCUAAGAUAAUUAUGGGAAAAACCAGCUUUCGAUGAAUCUGACAGGUGUUUGAAAAGCUCAAUGGGCAGCACGAUUUGCUGUUGUGCAGAAGACCAAGGUUCAGAAGCACACACAAAAUUUUGUCAUCUCAACAGCCAGCAGGAAGUGGAGGUGGCAUAAAGAAAAUGACAGCCUUUGCUGCAAAGGCAAACAGAAAUCUUACCUGUGAUCUGGAGCUGAGUUUGUUUCCUGUAUAAAAGGGGCAAGGGGUUAGAAGCAGAUAAUACUUCCCAGAAUGGCUUGAUGUCCAUAGCUGGGUGAGAAUUCUCUUCCUUUAAAUUUACGGUGGCUGCAUCGGAUGUGCCAGAAAAUGAUGGAUCAGUAGAGCCCUAUAAAUCCUGAACACGUAUGUAGUAUAGCUUUUCAAAAAUAACUUGCAAAACAGACUUUCAGGAGAAGAAAAACUCCACAAUGACAGCACACUGACAGUGCAAUAGAGAGGAAUUUGUUAUUCUGACUGCAGGGGUGACAAUGACCAGAGGGCAAAUGCAUAAAAUAGGAAGGAAGAGCCUAUGUGCAAAUGUCAAGUACCCCCCGCAGCAAAUGAAAGAAAGAGAGAUAUGCUCAAAGUGUGUUUACUCUAUAUAGGCAUAAUACUACUACUACUAAUAGUAAAUAAUAAUAAUAAAGGUAAUUUCUCUGAUUACAAUAAAUAUUUCUGAGCUUGAAGCUGAGGAUGCGAUGCAACAUUAUAUAGUAUCACCUGUGUAUAAAUGAUUCCAUUCAGAUGUUCAUUGCCAUGAAAUUAAAAGAAACCUUUGCCAUCUAAUGGUGAAGGUGGCAGCAAAAAUGGACACGAAUGGUAAGUGAAGGGUUAAAUAUAUAGGAUGGUCUUUUUUGUGAGUAAUCUUUGUUGACAAUUUUUAAGCUGUGGUUUGACUCUAGAAAUAAAUGUGAUUAUUAUCAUUAUUUCUUUUAUUACCUAAAGGGGAGAAUAUCUACUCACAAGUAAAACUACUUCAGUAUGAAAUUAAUUUUGCAGGCAUAAUUUGCACCCUCAAACAAGAUCUCAAUCCCAAAAAGGAGCAGCAAGAAACUGAAAGCCCUGUUGUGUUUCUGAAGUUAUUUAGUUCUAAACAAACCUUCCCAGGCUGUCUGUCUGCUUUGUACUUUUAGUUCUUCUUUGUUAUUGAAUGCUUUUGUAAGAAAGCAGGAUUUUUGUUCUGAAUUUUUCUUCCCCUGAUAUUUCCCACAUGAAGUUACAAUCCUCUGAUAGCUUGUACGAAGAGGAUUAGAACAUGUCAUCACUAAUUGCAGAUGAGGAUUUAAAGCAGGGAUGGACAGGAGAAGCAGAAAGAUGAGAUUGCCUGACCUGUCUUGCUUCAGACCAUGCGGCUGCUUUGCAUCUACCCCUGCUGCCCCAGGAAGGUAGCCUGGCUUCCACAUCUGUCCUCAUCUUACAGAAAGGGAUUUUUUUUUUUUUUUUGAAUGUGAUCAAACACUAACUUUUCUGCCGAGACACUGAUUUUUUUAUUGUACAUUUUCCCUAAAGAUCCAUUUCUACCAUGAGAACUACACAAAGUUAGUUGGUUCAUAAAAGUACAAGGGAAGGAACAGCUGCAAAGAGGAAUCACUUCUAAACUCCCAAAAGUGCCAGAUUGCAGGGGUGGGAUCGUACCUUCCUCCACAACUUUUUUUGUUGUUUCUUCUAGAAAGUAAACUUUUGAGUACUGCCAUUGUAUCCCCACCUAUACCAUACAAGUGCUUCCCUCGAGUCUGGAAGUAGUAAUGGUAAGGUACACAAGCCCUAACCAUCUGCAAACAUUACUGUUACUUAAAGGAAACAACGGGUAGCAAUUUGAGUAAUAAGCUUAAGGAAUUACAUAACUUAAGUAGCAAUAGAACAAAAUUAUGUCAGCAUGCAUUUCCCUCUCUUUUGCUUCAGCACAAAUCAAUUAUGAAAUACAAAUCAAAGUAAUGGAUACAUGUUUAUAAAAAUUUAGGGUUCCAGGCACUGAUUAACCAUGAUGGAGAGAACUUGCUCUCAUGAAGAUAAAUGUAUUAUCAUAAAGAACCUAAAAGUUCCCAUGUGAGGCUGUGAACUACUUGAAAGGACAAUUUAUAGUAGCCCUAGCAUUCUUUGAUGGGUUGAAGUCUAAGGAGAUAAGACACAAUAAGCAAGUGGUCAGAGCUGCUUUUCAACUUCUCUGUAUGGAUCAUUUGUCAGUAAAUUGCAUAAGCAGAGGAAAGCAGUUAGCAUAAAUGCCCCUUCGUCUGAUUUUAAAAAAGAUUCUUUUCUUUUAAAGUCUACUUUCUUGCAACAAGGUGAAAGAGUGACUCAGCAAUUUAAAAAAAAAAAAAGGCAAAACUGAGCUAGAGGGAAUUUAAUUAUCUUUAGGCAUCUAAUAAAAACCACAGAAGUUUGUCACAAUUUUCAGGACUUGUCUGUCAAAUCUUGACAGAUCAGGAAAGUGAAAAGGACAGUUUCUUGGUUAAGACUGAAAAAGAGCUUGAACUUCAUUUUCAAGGAGAAAGGAUGUUUUUUAAUUAAUAAAGGUAAAGAAAUAUGUGGUAAAACUACCUCCUUGUCUGACGUAUCAUGAAAGCCGCAACCAGAAUUCCACAUGUCUGUCAGUCCCUCCUGUGCCAAGAUCUGGGCUUUCAUUUUGAGGGAUGAAAACAUUUUUUAAAGUCAUUGGGAAAACAAUAUGUGAUUCAGUUAGAUAAAGAAUUAAAUGCCUCAGUCUUCUCAGAAUCAAAGGAAAAGAACAGUUUCAGCUGUGCUAAAUAGACUUGUUGACGUAACGUGCUGGUUCUUGGUCACCUGAAUUUACGAUGUAAACCAGUAUCUCUGUGAAGGCUGCAUUACCGAGAUGACUUCAGUGUUUUGUUAUUUAAUCACAUAGCCUGAGCACUUCUAGUGAGGAAAAGAAGGGAUUAACAGACAGAGGUCAGGGCUUGGGAUUUUAAAAUUUAUGUGCUGUUUCUUGACUGCUAUAAAAGGUAGACUAAAUAUAUUGUCCGUCUCACAGAGCAAUGUUUUACAGAUCAAAAGGCCAUAUCUUUAAAGCAGGCAGCAUUUUAGUCCUAAAUAAUACUCUUUUACCAAAGUGAUCAUAUAGCUCAAAUGUUCCUGAAAUGGUGAGUCUGUUGUAAUGUAUAGCUAUUGGUGAUACGAGGCUUAAUAUAGACUAAGUUCUUGGAAAAAGAAAGGAAACCUUGCUGUAAACGUUAUCAGUGGCUUGGCAAGUGGUUGGGAGACAGACAACUUUUUUGUUCGUUCGUCUUUACCAUCAGAAUGUAGGGUACUGGACACCAGGGGGGCUGACAGAAACCUGCUCUGAUUAUUUAUCUCCUUUCUUCCCCACGCAGGUGCUGCUGCCCAAAGAGCUUCUGGGGAAAGGUUCCUGUGUGGGGCAUAGAAAUGGUGAUGGAUAUAGCUGGGGCCUGCUGAAGGUACUGAUUAGGUGUUUCCUCCAGGGAAGGCAAAUAACCAGCCUGUAGACCUAGUGUAAAUGAUCUUGGGCAGCAUUUCUGUUUUCUUUCACUGCUUUGGAUCACUUUCUUUGUAAGACAAACGGCUUCAGCCAGCCUGGUCGUGGGAUAUUUCCAUCGCUGUUUGAUCUGUUUUCCAGCAGCGCUGGCUCGGCGUUGGAGCAAAUGUUGAAAGCUGCUGCCAGGGAGGUGCAGGGAAGAGCACGCGAGCAGGAUGCGACUGGAGUGAAAGCUCCCCCUCAGCCAAAGCCAUUUCUCACCAGUUUGCUCAAAUUUGCAAGAACAGCCCAGAAAGAACCACCUCUGCAACUCGUACAGCUUAACAGAAAAUGGGUAUUUGUAUGGGCAAGUACUGCUGUAAAAGGAAGAUAAGUCAUGAUCCGGGCAACCUGGGAAACUCAACUUCCACUCAAUAUUUUCCAGACUGACUGGGGUUUGUGGGGCCCUGGUGAAUGCAUCUCCGAAGGGUGCCACUUUCAGACCUACCUUUUGAAACAGAUUUAGUUAAUGGUGAUGUGCAGUCAAAGAAUUGCUCUCCAUUCUGCUAAAUUACGUUUUGUUUCAGGACUCUAAUCUGAAGCCAUACUCAAAAGCUGCAGCAGUUUAGAAAAAUUAGCCAGCAGCCUGGCUGAGCUUACAUCUCAAGCACGCUAGUUUUAUUAUGCAGUGAUAAAUCACUUUUUAACUUUCUGCACAAAGGGCAUUUUCUUGUCGAUGUAUUUGAGAACGUUGUAGAGGUGUUUGUAAUUAAAUAAGGAAAAAGCAGAACUUCUUUUAGGAAGAAAUUAAUUUGUGAUGCUAUUGAAAUCAGAGAAUUUUGAAAAUACUGUCCAUGGGUUAUUUUUGCUUUGUGCUUCCACAAAAGUAAUUGUAUUUCUCUCUAAAAUACAGUGAAGUGAGAAAUAGGCAGUUUUCUUUUACAUGGAGGACAGAAAAUUUAUCAAAUAGAGACAGUACAGACUUAGGUAAAGAUGUCUGGAUUUUGCCUGCAUUAAAAUAUUUUCAAGGUCAAGCUUUCCAAGGUCUUUCACCUAAUCAUGUACUGAACCACAACUUUCUAGCCAUUAAAAGUGCCUAUGCUUCAUAGUAUGGUUUAGUUUAAAAAAAUGACACGUUAGAGCUCAAAAAACAGACAGUUCAGCUUUGAGUGCCAAAUAUAUGAAAUGCCCUCCUCUUCCUUGUCCUUUUCCAAUCCAGGGUGGCCAGCUUAGCGUUCUGCCCAGUUUUGAUUAAAGAUGAGGUACAGAUCUGAUCUGGCAUGGCAAUUGCUAUAUUCCAGUGUAAGCCACAGACUAUUGCUGCUAUUAUUUAUUCUCAGACAAAAACAUUCACUCCCACAACCUCCAACUAUAGGCUGCAAAUUCUUCAUGCCUAGCUUUUUGCCAUGAGUAAAAACGACAUUAUUUCUCAUUUGCUCUGGUUGCUGUGGGCUGCCUCACCUGUCACAGCCAAGAGCUGCACUAUCUGUUGGCCAUUCUGCGUGGAACGAUUUGAAAAUUUCCAGUGCUCUCUUCCACUACAGAUCAGAAACCAGACAGUUCAAGAAUGUGAAGCCAAGACUUGAUGCUGCAAAAUUUCAGAUAAAAGCUGUGAGGGAUCGGGGUCUCUGCCGCUAAGUACUUUUGAUCUCGGUUGGAUGUACCGCUGCCUCCUCAGGAGUCAAUAGAAUUACAUGGCUAUGACAGUGCGCCAAGGACACAGUCGCAGCGUGCAGGGACCAUGCUGACCUCCAGGAUGGGGCUGUUAAAAGGGGACAGCACAGCUCCGAGCUGAAGGGCACAUCGCUGGGUACACCUAGCUCAAAAGUUCCCUCAGAGUCUCUACCUUGAACGCCUUUUGUGAUCUGAAGUGAAAAGUGAGCAGCAACAUAUGGUGACAGGGGAUUGCAUAACAUGGUCCAAAUCCUUGCAGCACGUUUGUUUAAAACUAGUGUUUAGGAUACAAGAGACUGUGUGGAUCCUGAUACCAUUGUACCUGGCAGGAUGGCUUUGCGGUGCUUAGACGUGGCAGUGAUUCAACCCAUUAAGCAGACAGAUGCUUUGUAGACCUGAUGUUACACCACUUCUCACCCUAGAGAGUUGCUUCCUGUACGGCACUUCAUCUUUAAUGAUCUUAAUUAAUACUAAUUGGUAUAUAAUCACCUCGAAAAAUACUAUUCUAUGAGGAAAACUCAUCUCUGAUGUUACAGAGAUAGGUAAUUGUGAGAAAUCUUAAUGUACUACAGCCCUGCGUAAAUGAUUAAAUAAAACAGAUCUUCCUCUGUUUUGUCUGUAUCUAUCUAUAUAUUGUUUUCCUUGAUAGCUUAUAUUGUAACUCCCACACCUGAAGCUUCCACCACAUGUUUUAAACUAUUUCAGAAGUAAUGUGAGGCUAGCAGAGAUCACACUUAUGAAAACUGUAAUGAAAAACCAUUAUUAAAGAAGGGAUAUAAUUUUUUCUUUUCUUUUCUUUUUCCUUUUUUCUCCAACUUGCUUUCAAUCAGCAUACUAAUUCUGCUCUUACGUAAAAUUCACUCCUGCAUUUAUAUAGCAGGGUAGUUUCAUUUUUGGUCCAUUCCUGUUUUGAGAAGGAAUCUUCCUGCACACAUCCCCAAGAUUCCCUUUCUCUUUUAGUAAGCAUUGCGAUUACAUAAAAAGAAAAGCAGAGAUCUUAGUAAACAAAACCAGAGGAAUGAUUUAAUCUUUAAAGCUGGCUAGGACACCGAACUUGCAAUUCACAUCUCAUUUUUGUCAGCAGCAUGUCCAAACCACCAAGACCAUUCUCGAAAAUCACAGCUGUGACAGCUAUGGCCACCGAGCUACAGGAAAGCUGCACUCAGGUCAUUCUGCCUUGUCACCGCCAAUGAAACAUGAGAAUAGUUAGCAUUACUGCCCGCUGAUUUUGCAGCCUCUUUUGUUCAGUAAAAACAAUUCUAAUGAUUAAUAGCAUCAUAAAAUAGCAUG